UUUGCACUCCCUCCGUUCGGAAUUACUUGUCACAAAAAUGGAUAAAAAUGGAUGUAUCUACAACUAAAAUACAUCUAGAUACAUUCAUUUCUUCGACGAGUAAUUCCGAACGGAGGGAGUAACAU
rfam:Triticum aestivum genome assembly, contig: Triticum_aestivum_CS42_TGACv1_scaffold_501200_6BL